AGAGUUUGAUCCUGGCUCAGAUUGAACGCUGGUGGUAUGCUUAACACAUGCAAGUCGGACGAAGUUUAAAGUAACUUGUUACUUAAAACUUAGUGGCGGACGGGUGAGUAACACGUAGGAAUCUGCCUUAUAGAAUGGGAUAACAGUUAGAAAUAGCUGCUAAUACCAUAUGUUGCCUUACGGUAAAAGGUGGCUCUUCGGAGCUGUCGCUAUAAGAUGAGCCUGCGGUAGAUUAGCUAGUUGGUAAGGUAAAUGCUUACCAAGGCUACGAUCUAUAGCUGUUCUGAGAGGAAGAUCAGCCACACUGGGAUUGAGAUACGGCCCAGACUCCUACGGGAGGCAGCAGUGGGGAAUAUUGGACAAUGGGGGAAACCCUGAUCCAGCAAUACCAUGUGUGUGAAGAAGGCCUUAGGGUUGUAAAGCACUUUAGUUGGGGAGAAAUCCUGUUAAAUUAAUAGUUUUUCAGGUUGAUGUUACCCAAAGAAUAAGCACCGGCAAACUCCGUGCCAGCAGCCGCGGUAAUACGGGGGGUGCGAGCGUUAAUCGGAAUUAUUGGGCGUAAAGAGUUCGUAGGUUGUUAGAUGAGUUAGAUGUGAAAUCCCUAAGCUUAACUUAGGUAGUGCAUUUAAUACUGUCUAGCUAGAGUUUGGCAGAGGAAUGGGGAAUUUCCGGUGUAGCAGUGAAAUGCAUAGAUAUCGGAAGGAACACCAGUGGCGAAGGCGACAUUCUGGGCUAAAACUGACACUGAGGAACGAAAGCGUGGGGAGCAAACAGGAUUAGAUACCCUGGUAGUCCACGCCGUAAACGAUGAUUACUAGCUGUUGAGAUCGGUGUUAUGGUCUUAGUAGCGCAGCUAACGCUAUAAGUAAUCCGCCUGGGGAGUACGGCCGCAAGGUUAAAACUCAAAGAAAUUGACGGGGACCCGCACAAGCGGUGGAACAUGUGGUUUAAUUCGAUGCAACGCGAAAAACCUUACCUACUCUUGACAUCCUAAGAAUAACAAAGAGAUUUGUUAGUGCCUUCGGGAACUUAGAGACAGGUGCUGCAUGGCUGUCGUCAGCUCGUGUUGUGAAAUGUUGGGUUAAGUCCCGCAACGAGCGCAACCCUUAUCUUUAGUUGCCAGCACGUCAAGGUGGGCACUCUAGAGAGACUGCCGCUGAUAAAGCGGAGGAAGGUGGGGACGAGGUCAAGUCAUCAUGGCCCUUAUGAGUAGGGCUACACACGUGUUACAAUGGGUAUUACAAAGGGCAGCUAAGGAGCAAUCCGGUGCGAAACUCAGAAAAAUACUCUUAGUCCGGAUUGCAGUCUGCAACUCGACUGCAUGAAGUCGGAAUCGCUAGUAAUCGCGAAUCAGCAUGUCGCGGUGAAUACGUUCCCGGGUCUUGUACACACCGCCCGUCACACCAUGGAAGUUUGUUGCAAAAGAAGUAAGUAGUCUAACCGCAAGGAGGGCGCUUACCACUUUGUGAUUAAUGACUGGGGUGAAGUCGUAACAAGGUAACC
rnacentral:rRNA from 1 species